GGAAGAAAAUGACGGUACCUCCACAAGAAGCCCCGGCCAACUACGUGCCAGCAGCCGCGGUAAUACGUAGGGGGCGAGCGUUGUCCGGAUUUAUUGGGCGUAAAGAGCUCGUAGGCGGUUCAACAAGUCGGUCGUGAAAGUUCAGGGCUCAACCCUGAAAUGUCGAUCGAUACUGUUGUGACUAGGAUACGGCAGAGGUGAGUGGAAUUCCGAGUGUAGCGGUGAAAUGCGUAGAUAUUCGGAGGAACACCAAUUGCGAAGGCAGCUCACUGGGCCGCUAUCGACGCUGAGGAGCGAAAGCUAGGGGAGCAAACAGGAUUAGAUACCCUGGUAGUCCUAGCUGUAAACGAUGGAUACUAGAUGUAGGAAUUGGUUUAACGAUUUCUGUAUCGUAGCUAACGCGUUAAGUAUCCCGCCUGGGGAGUACGGUCGCAAGACUAAAACUCAAAGGAAUUGACGGGACCCCGCACAAGCGGCGGAGCAUGCGGCUUAAUUCGAUGAUACCCGUAGAACCUUACCUGGACUUGACAUAUAGGGAAAAGUUAUAGAAAUAUAAUGUGCAUUAGCGCCCUAUACAGGUGGUGCAUGGCUGUCGUCAGCUCGUGUCGUGAGAUGUUGGGUUAAGUCCCGCAACGAGCGCAACCCCUGUCCUAUGUUGCCAGCAAGUAAUGUUGGGGACUCAUAGGAGACUGCCGGUGAUAAACCGGAAAAGGGUGGGGACGACGUCAAGUCAUCAUGCCCCUCCUUAAAAGGGCUGCACGCAUGCUACAAUGGCAAGUACAACGAGUCGCAAUACCGCGA
rnacentral:rRNA from 1 species